CUUUGUUGUUGUUGCUAUUUCUUGGGCCGCUCCCGCGGCAUAUGGAGAUUCCCAGGCUAGGGGUUGAAUCGGAGCUGUAGCCACCGGCCUACGCCAGAGCCACAGCAACGUGGGAUCCGAGCCACGUCUGCAACCUACACCACAGCUCACGGCAACGCCAGAUCGUUAACCCACUGAGCAAGGGCAGGGACCGAACCCGCAACCUCAUGGUUCCUAGUCAGAUUCGUUAACCACUGCUCCACGACGGGAACUCCCGACAAUCACUUUUCAACAAAAACAGCUGAAAUGAUGCAGCAGUAAUUAAGAGGAAGAGACACAGAAAAUGAGAUGUACUUCAUGACCCACCCAUGGGCAAGAUAAAAAGGUGCUAUAUUCAGAAAAAAAUUAACGCUUUUAGUUAACUUUAAUAGUUAACUUUUAAAGAUACAUAAAGAAAAUUUAUAAGUGGGAAAAGAAAAUCCCAGAAAAGGGCCUCAUGAGAUGAGGGUAAAAUGUUAAUUCUUUCUCAGAGCUGUUGUUUUAUUUAUUACUAAAUAGAAGAUAGUAACGUUAUGCAUCAUUUAAGGACAAUGGAUUUAAUGAAAAGGGGCAAUAGUAGAUCUUUCAACCUAAAUGAAUGUGAAAGUCUGUCCCCAGUCAUUAAAUUUUACAUGUUCAAAAUUCAUUUCAGCUUCACUUUUCUCUCCCCCCACCAAAUCCAGACAUACUUCUUUUGGAGUCUCUGAGUUUAAAAACAACUCUGGAAGUUCCCAUUGUGGCUCAGCGGUAAUAAACCUGUCCAGUAUCCAUGAGGGUGCAGGUUCAAUCCCUGGCCCCGCUCAGUGUGUUAAGGAUCUGGUGUUUCUGUGAUUAUGAAAACAUCCCUACAUACCUCAUCCUUUGCUCUCAACCGCAUUCAAUCAGGGAUAUGGUGCUAUCAUCUUUGACCUCAUAAAUAUAUUGGAAGAAAUGUUUCCAUUUUCAUCCUCACUGUCCCCACAUUCAUGAGGCCCUCGCCUCCACAACUCGUUUUCAAAAUUGAGCUACAAGUAAUCAGAUGAAUGCAUUAAGGUAAUGAUCCUCAAAGGUCCUCACCAUCCCCCACGUGGACCAUUACACUUCCUGGAAGUUCGUCUCCCUGCCACAUGCCUCCCCCAAUUUGCUACCUUUUUUUUGCACACCCACAGAAUGACCAUUCACACUUCUGUGUCCUAUAUAAGAUAUUCCCUCUACUCGAAUGUACGUAUACUUCCCUUUUCACCUUCUAUAAUUCAUCUGUCAUCUCCAUCUCCCUCUGUGGAACCCUUUUGGUUGAGUUAGUUUCCUUUCUUCUGUGCUCCUUUAGUAUCUCUAUUUAUAUCUCAGUGAACUUGUUCCUCAAACUGUAGUCCAUUGGUCCAUAGUCUCCAUAGCCUGGGAGUUUGUGAAAAAUGUAGAAACUCAGGCUCUAGCCCAGACCUCCUGAAUCACAAUCUGCAUAUUAAGGAAAUCUGCAGGUGAUUCUUAUGCACAUAAAUGUUUGGGAUUUGUGACUAAAGAUGAGAUUAUCAGAGACUUGGAUCUCUGUCUUUUAUGCUGAACUCUGAGCUUCUCUAGAGGAGAACCACAUAUUUCAUUUCUGAAUCCCCUAGCAAAGUGUCAGUGGAUGCUGAGCCUUUAUAAUAUGUAAAUGAGUGAAAGAGAAAAUGAAAAUAGAUGGUUCAGUGGUCACCUAAGUAACCAAAACCAGGACUCCCCAGGCACAUCCAUAUCAGAGCCUUUCUACCACCUGUGCUGCGCCGCUUACAAAAUGUCUUUCUUUUCCAUUUCUAAACCUCAGAGAUGUUGGAUGACGCACUUACAGUCACAAGGCUAUUUUAAGUGGCAAAGAGGACACUAGAGUACAAGUUUUUCUCUUGACACUUAGUCGAGGAUCUUUCCACUUUGUCAUUUGGCAUCUGUGAAGAACAAAUGAGAAACACACUAAUUGAACUUCUGUUCUCACAAUUCAAGUUUCAAAGAGCAUCUGCCAUGAGGAAUAAAAAUAUAUUUGUGUUUCCCCAGUGUGCUUCAAUUCAGUCAGUCCUGGGUUACAGUCCAGUAAGUCAAGCUUAGUGAACAUGUUUAUCUCAAAUUUGCAGGAGAAGCCCCAACUGAAAUACAAAAAAGUAAGAAAUAAUUAGAAACAUAAUUAAUCAGUUUGCCAAUUCUAUUUUUUCUAUCUGGUUCAAUAAUUUGUAGAUUGUAAGAUUAAGUGCAUUUUUGCAGUACAUUUAAAAAAUGCAUAAUAAUGGUUGCAAACUUUCAUAAGACAUUUAUAUCCCAAAUGCCAUGUUUACUUAUGUAUUUCCAGUGUGCUUGAAUAUUUUGGGAAGGAAACAAAUAGGACAUUUAUAUAAUUGCCACCAAUAUGCUUUGCUUUGUUUCACUUUUGAAAUAACAGUCAUAUCAUGCCAUCCUAUCCGGUCAUAGAGGCAGCAAAUAUUUAUUACGUGUGCAUUAUGUGUCGGGAACUGUCAUAGGCUCUGCCCUCAGAAAAUUCCGCCUCCUUGAAUCUUAUAGAUUAAUUGGGAACGUAGCCAAAGAAGCAGGCAGUUAUAAUGAAGUUUUAUGAAGGCAAGUAAAAACACAUGUACCACAGGACAUCUAGGCAGAAAGAGCACUUGGUCCAGGCAUGGGAGGCCGGAAGAGUCUUUGCAAAGAUGACCAUGAAGCUAUGUCUUAAAGAAGAAUAUAACAUAAUUAGGCAGAUUGUGUCAGGUGGUACUUUGCAAAUAGAAAAACUGGAUGUUCAAAGACCCUAGUCCAAGAGAAAGAAUGGAAGGUUCAAAAUAGCUGCAAGUAACUCAGUGUAGCUAGAGCAGAAUUUUGCUGGUACAAGGAGGGGAAUUGUAUGGACAGUGAAGAGGGUUAAUGCUGGACAGGAAAGCAAGAGCAAGAUCAUGAGUUGUGCAGAAUACCCUGCAAAGGAAUUUGGACAUCAUUCUAAAUAAUGAGUUAACAUGUAAUGCAUUUCUAGUGCUUACUAUGGUCUUCUUGUUCUAAACUUAUCUCAUUUUGUCUUCAUAAUUGGUGCAUACUCUGAGUCCCGUUUUUACUCCUGAUUUUUUAGAUAGUGAAGCUGAAGCACAGAGACUAAAAGUACUUUAGCAAAGUUGUCCAGCUGGGUGUUAAUGGAGCUGGGUUCUUAAAUGUGAUGGAAAGCGACAUGAUGUAAUUUUUGUUUUGUAAAGAUUUUUCUGAGAGUGAAGAGAGAAUUUGAGAUGACAUUUCAGUAAUCCAAUUGAAAUAAACCAAAGACAUGAACUAAGUUGAUGCUAUAGGUAAGGAAAGAAGUAGAUGAGUAGAGAGAUGUUCAGGGGCUAAAAAUAGGACUGAGUUAUGUGUUGAUAAUGUGUGAGGCCAAGUAUGUGAUCAGAUGGACUUCUACAAACAGGUGUGAGUUCUAGAUUUUAGAUGUAUACAAUCAAAUAUACAUUUUCCAUGACAAUGGUUUUUUUCAUUAAAAUGACUAACCUAAGCAUCAACUAAUCUCAAAUUGAUGAGACAUAAUUUAAUGGUAAUAUAAUUUAAAUACAUAAAUUGAAAGACAUAAAUUGUACUUUAUUAAAAAUAUGUAACCAAACUGUGGUGUUACUUCAUUCUACCCUAUGUUGUUUAUAGUAUAGCUCCCUCUUGUUCUCCCUCUCUCUCUUUUUUCCUGCCAAUUCUAAUUUCUCAGCAGAAGAACCUCAUCUGUGACUAUUCUAAUUCUGGCAGGAACUCAAAAUUCAGGUUGUUUCCCUGCAAGUUUCAAUCUAUCCUUGAUAGAUGACUCAGAUUCCAGGUUGUGAAAUCUUCCUUGAUCACAAACCCUUUUCUACCUUGUCUCUAGUUAUCAUCCUUUGUAUGCCAAUGUCUACACUUAGGCUUUUCACCCUGUAAUGCUUGCCAUUCACAUACCUCUAAACUCUGCCCUGGAGUUCCCGUCGUGGUGCAGUGGUUACCAAAUCCGACUAGGAACCAUGAGGUUGAGGGUUCGAUCCCUGCCCUUGCUCAGUGGGUUGACGAUCCGGCGUUGCCGUGAGCUGUGGUGUAGGUUGCAGACACGGCUCGGAUCCAGCGUUGCUGUGGCUCUGGUGUAGGCGGGUGGCUACAGCUCUGAUUAGACCCCUAGCCUGGGAACCUCCAUAUGCCGCGGGAGCGGCCCCAGAAAAGACAAAAAAAAAAAAAAAGAAAGAAAAACUCUGCCCUCUUCUAACUCCGGAUCUGUAUUAUCAGCUUAUACCAAUCCACAGCUCAUCAACUUGUUCAUACGUAGUGAUCUUUUCUCUUCUGCUCUGAUUUUUUUUUUUGUAACAUUGAUAACAUUGUGAUAAAACUGACAUUUUUCAAACAUUAUGUUGUAUAUGAAUUUUACCCAUAAUCUAUAUUAAAGUGUCAACUAAUUAGUACUUUUUAGUUUUAUCUGGUGGCCUACUCCAUCUCUAAAAAGACACCUUUGAACUUCUAUCACUUAUUCUCAUGAUGUGCCUGUCCUUUUUCCUUGGAUGUAUCCCCAAGCUUUGAACUCUCCUUCAAUAUCUUCACCUCCUCAUCAUUAAAACAAUUAUCCGUGUGUGUUUAUAUUUUAGGUCUUCACCCAACUUUUCAUUCUGCUCUUCCAUAUUCUGACCAUUUCCACCAGGGCCAGUGUUCAGGACCAAUCUUACUAAUAGCCAUCAAUCUCCAUUUUAUAUUUGUUAUUAUUAGAAUAGCCAAAAUUGUCAUAGUACAUUGCCAUACUUUAAAGAUGAUCUAUCAUAAAGAAAUUGAUGAGGGAAGGAAAUUUUAUAUCAAUAAGAAGGUUGCAUUUAUGAAAACCUGAAAACAUAUAAAAUGAUAAUUUUCACCAGGGGAAAGAAAAAGAAGCUAAUAUAGUCUUUGUUAUCAAUUAUCUCAAUAAUUGUAAUGACAUUAUAAAUAAUAAGAAUAUAGCAAAUCAAUGCAAGUUUUGAAGAACACAAGAUCAAAAAAAGAUAGUGGACUUGGAACACAUUA
rnacentral:lncRNA from 1 species